UACGUAGGAUCCGAGCGUUGUCCGGAUUUACUGGGUGUAAAGGGUGCGCAGGCGGACUGGUGAGUCUGGGGUGAAAUCUCGCUGCUUAACAGCGAAACUGCCUUAGAUACUAUCAGUCUUGGAUAAGCGAGAGGUUCGUGGAAUUCCGAGUGUAGCAGUGAAAUGUGUAGAUAUUCGGAAGAACACCAGUGGCGAAGGCAGCGAACUGGCGCUUUACCGACGCUCAUGCACGAAAGCAUGGGGAUCAAACAGG
rnacentral:rRNA from 1 species